rnacentral:lncRNA from 1 species
GAACAAUGUUUCAUAUGAAGCAAAUGUCUUUCAGUUCCUGGUGGCAUUUCUGACAGCUUCUGGAAGAGGAGUUCUGCUUGGCAGAUUCCUGGAGUGUCUUCUACAUGCUUCAACCUGUUCUCUCCCAGUGUGGUGCACUUCAGGUCUGGGUUCACAUUGAGCCACCUGAGAGGAGCUGGGAAAGUGCUGUUUCUCAUCAUUUCCACCCAGCAAGAGAAUUGGAGAGAAAGAGCUACACCCAAGCCAAUUAUGGCAGGGUCCUUGGGGGCUGUUAUGUAAUCUUCCAGAGACAGUGGAAUGGAGUGGGCCUUGAGUUCCAGUGGGCACACUGGCUGAAGUCUUUUCUGUACUCCAGGUCUUGGGCCAUCUGUGGUGGAGCAAGCUCCCUCAAUGCUGGAGAAAGUCCUUUGGCAGAGAAGAAGCUUACAGCAUGCUGGGACCUGCCUGCUGCACCUGUGGGGGGAUUUAGACUUGUUUUCCAGGACUUGUGUUCUGCAUUCUCCCAUGUGCCUUGGGUACCAGCCCUGACAUCACUGGACUGCACCAUCCAUGCUGAGAAUUCUAUACCUUUGCUCUUGCUGUUCUUCAAGCCCAGAAAGCCCCUCCCCAGCUGGCCUCCUUGGUGGAUGGUUUGA